rnacentral:rRNA from 1 species
AACGCUAGCUACAGGCUUAACACAUGCAAGUCGAGGGGAAACGAUAUUGGAAGCUUGCUUCCGAUAGGCGUCGACCGGCGCACGGGUGAGUAACGCGUAUCCAACCUGCCCAUCACUUGGGGAUAACCUUGCGAAAGUAAGACUAAUACCCAAUGAUAUCUCAAGAAGACAUCUGAAUGAGAUUAAAGAUUUAUCGGUGAUGGAUGGGGAUGCGUCUGAUUAGCUUGUUGGCGGGGUAACGGCCCACCAAGGCGACGAUCAGUAGGGGUUCUGAGAGGAAGGCCCCCCACAUUGGAACUGAGACACGGUCCAAACUCCUACGGGAGGCAGCAGUGAGGAAUAUUGGUCAAUGGGCGCAAGCCUGAACCAGCCAAGUAGCGUGCAGGAUGACGGCCCUAUGGGUUGUAAACUGCUUUUAUACAGGAAUAAAGUUAGCCACGUGUGGUUAUUUGUAGGUACUGUAUGAAUAAGGACCGGCUAAUUCCGUGCCAGCAGCCGCGGUAAUACGGAAGGUCCAGGCGUUAUCCGGAUUUAUUGGGUUUAAAGGGAGCGUAGGCCGUCUGUUAAGCGUGUUGUGAAAUGUAGAUGCUCAACAUCUGAAUUGCAGCGCGAACUGGCAGACUUGAGUGUGCGCAACGUAGGCGGAAUUCGUGGUGUAGCGGUGAAAUGCUUAGAUAUCACGAAGAACUCCGAUUG